rnacentral:sRNA from 1 species
GCGGAGGAAAAGAAACCAACAGGGAUUGCCCCAGUAACGGCGAGUGAAGCGGCAACAGCUCAAAUUUGAAAUCUGGUCCCCUUGCGGGGCCCGAGUUGUAAUUUGAAGAGGAUGCUUCUGGCAAGGUGCCUUCCGAGUUCCCUGGAACGGGACGCCGCAGAGGGUGAGAGCCCCGUACGGUAGGACGCCGAGCCUCUGUGAAGCUCCUUCGACGAGUCGAGUAGUUUGGGAAUGCUGCUCAAAAUGGGAGGUAAACCCCUUCUAAAGCUAAAUACUGGCCAGAGACCGAUAGCGCACAAGUAGAGUGAUCGAAAGAUGAAAAGCACUUUGAAAAGAGAGUUAAAAAGCACGUGAAAUUGUUGAAAGGGAAGCGCUUGCGACCAGACUCGCGCCCGUCGGAUCAGCCGUCGCUUGCGGCGGUGCACUCCGGCGGGCUCGGGCCAGCAUCAGUUCGCCUCGGGGGGAGAAAGGCGGCAGGAAUGUGGCUCUUCGGAGUGUUAUAGCCUGCCGUAUAAUACCCCCGGGCGGACUGAGGACCGCGCGUAUGCAAGGAU